UUUCCAGGUGUCCUCCAGUGUUGUCUGUCCUACUCGCUGAUCACCAGACUGUCCCCCAGCUGGAAUAAAGCAGGACUCUACCUCAUCAAUGGAAAAGACUUCCUGUCUGAGAGCGGGAGGCUCAACGCUGUCAGCAUGCAGCUGAGCACCUGCGAGGGUCACCUGUGCAUCAGCAUUGAAGCCAACACAGUCCGGCUGCCACUG